GACGAACUGUUCUAACGUUAUUCGGAAUCACUGGGCUUAAAGGGCGCGUAGGCUGUUUGUUAAGCGGGGUCUGAAAUCCCUCGGCUCAACCGAGGAACUGGGCUUCGAACUGGCAGACUAGAGUGAAGUAGGGGUAAGCGGAACUUGCGGUGGAGCGGUGAAAUGCUUUGAUAUCGCAAGGAACACCGGCGGCGAAGGCGGCUUACUGGGCUUCAACUGACGCUGAGGCACGAAAGCUGGGGGAGCGAACGGGAUUAGAUACCCGUGUAGUCCCUGAGCGGG
rnacentral:rRNA from 1 species